CACUGUACAUUUCAUGUAACGGGAUGGGAUCUGAAGACUCCUGAAGAUUCCAUCCAACUCCUAUUCCGACACUUCCACGUCGUGCAGGGUGGUAACAUGAGCCCAAGUACAGCCUUUUGGCAGGAUGAAGGCUCAUGGCUAAGAAGCAGGGG
rnacentral:ribozyme from 1 species